rnacentral:rRNA from 1 species
UACGAAGGGGGCUAGCGUUGCUCGGAAUCACUGGGCGUAAAGGGUGCGCAGGCGGGUCUUUAAGUUAGGGGUGAAAUCCUGGAGCUCAACUCCAGAACUGCCUUUGAUACUGAAGAUCUUGAGUUCGGGAGAGGUGAGUGGAACUGCGAGUGUAGAGGUGAAAUUCGUAGAUAUUCGCAAGAACACCAGUGGCGAAGGCGGCUCACUGGCCCGAUACUGACGCUGAUGCACGAAAGCGUGGGGAGCAAACAGG